UAGCAUGGAAUAAUGGAAUAGGAUCACGAUCUUAUUUUGUUGGUUCUAGGAUCGAGAUAAUGAUUAAUAGGGAUAGUUGGGGACAUUAAUAUUUAAUUGUCAGAGGUGAAAUUCUUGGAUUUAUGAAAGAUUAACUUCUGCGAAAGCAUUUGUCAAGGAUGUUUUCGUUAAUCAAGAACGAAAGUUAGGGGAUCGAAGACGAUCAGAUACCGUCGUAGUCUUAACCAUAAACUAUGCCGACUAGGGAUUGGUGGCAGUUAAUUAUAUGACUUCAUCAGCACCAUAUGAGAAAUCAAAGUUUUUGGGUUCCGGGGGGAGUAUGGUCGCAAGGCUGAAACUUAAAGGAAUUGACGGAAGGGCACCACCAGGAGUGGAGCCUGCGGCUUAAUUUGACUCAACACGGGGAAACUCACCAGGUCCAGACACAAUGAGGAUUGACAGAUUGAGAGCUCUUUCUUGAUUUUGUGGGUGGUGGUGCAUGGCCGUUCUUAGUUGGUGAGGUGACUUGUCUGCUUUAUUGCGAUAACGAACGAGACCUUAACCUGCUAACUAGCCCGUAUUGCUCUGGCAGUACGCUGGCUUCUUAGAGGGACUAUUGGCGCAAGCCAAUGGAAGUAUGAGGCAAUAACAGGUCUGUGAUGCCCUUAGAUGUUCUGGGCCGCACGCGCGCUACACUGACGGAGCCAGCGAGUCUUCCUUGGCCGAAAGGCCUGGGUAAUCUUGUUAAACUCCGUCGUGCUGGGGAUAGAGCAUUGCAAU
rnacentral:rRNA from 1 species